AUGAUCGUCCUGCUGCCCAAGAAGGAAGGGGCCACCACUGUUGGUGACUACCGACCCAUCAACCUGAUACACUCCGUCGCGAAGCUGGUCGCUAAAGUGCUCUCUAGGCGCCUCGCCACGGUAGUAAAUCAGAUCAUCUCGCCGGCCCCGACUGUCUUCCAGAAGAACAAGUGCAUUCAGGACAACUUUCUGUACGUGCAGAACACUGUCAGAGCUCUGCACCGCAGCAAAACCCCGGUGCUCCUUCUGAAACUAGACAUAGCCAAGGCCUUAGAUAGUGUAUCAUGGGAAUAUCUACUCGAGCUGAUACAGCGGCUUGGAUUCAGUGCGCACUGGAGAAACUAGAUCUCUUCCCUGCUGUCAACCUCUGCAUCGGCCUGCCUGCUGAGCGGCACCCCCGGCGAGAUCAUCUUCCACUAUUGCGGGUUGCGACAGGGGGACCCCCUCUCGCCCCUCCUCUUCAUCAUCGCGACUGACCCGCUGGAUCGGCUGCUAGUACGGGCAGCGCGUGCGGGGUUCCUGCAGCCAAUACCGGGCAGCGCGGCAAGGCUACGGGUCAGCUUGUACGCCGACGACGCCAUCAUCUUCGCGAACACAUCCCGGGAGGAGAUCGACGCACUGAUAGAGGUCCUCAAGCUCUUCGUUGAGGCCCCGGGGCUGCGUGUCAACCCACCAAAAUUAUCUGUGGUCCCCAUAUGCUACGACGACGUAGACCUCGGCGACGUCCUUUUGAAUUUUGGCGGGCAGACGGCAGGCUUCCCAAUCAGAUAUCUUGGCCUCCCUGUCACGAUAGGCAGGACUAGGCUGGUUCAUACUUGA
rnacentral:rRNA from 1 species